rnacentral:rRNA from 1 species
AGUGAACGCUGGCGGUAGGCCUAACACAUGCAAGUCGAACGGCAGCACAGUAAGAGCUUGCUCUUACGGGUGGCGAGUGGCGGACGGGUGAGGAAUACAUCGGAAUCUACUUUUUCGUGGGGGAUAACGUAGGGAAACUUACGCUAAUACCGCAUACGACCUACGGGUGAAAGCAGGGGAUCUUCGGACCUUGCGCGAUUGAAUGAGCCGAUGUGGGAUUAGAUAGUUGGCGGGGUAAAGGCCCACCAAGGCGACGGUCCGUAGCUGGUCUGAGAGGAUGGUCAGCCACACGGGAACUGAGACACGGUCCAGACUCCUACGGGAGGCAGCAGUGGGGAAUAUUGGACAAUGGGCGCAAGCCUGAUCCAGCCAUACCGCGUGGGUGAAGAAGGCCUUCGGGUUGUAAAGCCCUUUUGUUGGGAAAGAAAAGCAGCAGGGUAAUACCCCGCUGUUCUGACGGUACCCAAAGAAUAAGCACCGGCUAACUUCGUG